GCUCUUUGAUAGCUCAGUUGGAAAAGCAUGAUAUUAUUAAUCUUAGCGUCGUGAGUUCUAGCCCCACAUUGAGCA